AGCAGAGCUGACUGGCCAGAGCUGACUAGGGAGAAGCAGAAGCUGCAAGCAGCAGACAGCAACAAGCAAAUAAUACGGCAAAGCCAAAGGGCAGAGCAACGAAGAAUAAAUUAGAUGUUGGCCUGAGCUUUUGGAAGUCCUGAAAGAGGUGGAGUUUUCCUUUUUCACUGACGGAGGAAUUUGAAAUCACAGGGCAUCUCACAGAGAAACAGGAAAGCACAAAUGGAAAUAUUUCAUAAACACAAGGGUGAAGGUAAAAUCAGAAUUUCCCAUGAACUCUCAGAAGGGGAAAAAUUAGGAACAAGUAAC